rnacentral:rRNA from 1 species
GACGAACGCUGGCGGCGCGCCUAACACAUGCAAGUCGAACGAGCGAGAGAGAGCUUGCUUUCUCGAGCGAGUGGCGAACGGGUGAGUAACGCGUGAGGAACCUGCCUCAAAGAGGGGGACAACAGUUGGAAACGACUGCUAAUACCGCAUAAGCCCACGACCCGGCAUCGGGUAGAGGGAAAAGGAGCAAUCCGCUUUGAGAUGGCCUCGCGUCCGAUUAGCUAGUUGGUGAGGUAACGGCCCACCAAGGCGACGAUCGGUAGCCGGACUGAGAGGUUGAACGGCCACAUUGGGACUGAGACACGGCCCAGACUCCUACGGGAGGCAGCAGUGGGGAAUAUUGCACAAUGGGGGAAACCCUGAUGCAGCGACGCCGCGUGGAGGAAGAAGGUCUUCGGAUUGUAAACUCCUGUUGUUGAGGAAGAUAAUGACGGUACUCAACAAGGAAGUGACGGCUAACUACGU